CGCGUAUGCAACUUGCCCUGCACAGGAGGAUAACCCGUCGAAAGACGGACUAAUACUGCGUACACUCACUGAGAGGCAUCUCUCGGUGAGGAAAGAAAUUCGGUGUAGGAUAGGCAUGCGUCCCAUUAGCUAGUUGGUGAGGUAACGGCUCACGAAGGCGACGAUGGGUAGGGGAACUGAGAGGUUUAUCCCCCACACUGGUACUGAGACACGGACCAGACUCCUACGGGAGGCAGCAGUGAGGAAUAUUGGUCAAUGGGCGAGAGCCUGAACCAGCCAAGUCGCGUGAAGGAUGACUGUCUUAUGGAUUGUAAACUUCUUUUGUAUGGGAAUAACGGGGCGGACGUGUCCGCUUGUGAAUGUACCAUACGAAUAAGCAUCGGCUAACUCCGUGCCAGCAGCCGCGGUAAUACGGAGGAUGCGAGCGUUAUCCGGAUUUAUUGGGUUUAAAGGGUGCGUAGGCGGCUUGUUAAGUCAGCGGUGAAAUCUUGGGGCUCAACCCCGAAACUGCCGUUGAAACUGGCGAGCUUGAGUGUAGAUGAAGUAGGCGGAAUUCGUGGUGUAACGGUGAAAU
rnacentral:rRNA from 1 species